rnacentral:rRNA from 1 species
GAUGAACGCUGGCGGCGUGCCUAACACAUGCAAGUCGAACGAACAGACGAGGAGCUUGUUCCUCUGUCGUUAGCGGCGGACGGGUGAGUAACGGGUGGAUAACCAGCCUGUAGGACUGGGAUAUUGUCGGGAAACCGGAGAGAAUAAAAGGGAAUAUAUUGAACCAUAUGGGUCAAUAGUGAAAUGCGGUUGUGCUGUAAAUUCUGGAUGGAUACGAGCCGCAUUAGCUAGUUGGUAAGGUAACGGCCUACAAAGGCAACUAUGCGUAGGCGAACUGAGAGCGUGAUAGGCUACCCGAGAGGAGAGACACGGUCCAGACUCCUGCGGUAGGCAGCAGUAGGGAAUCGUACGCAAUGGGCGAGAGCAUGACAGAGCAACGCGGAGUGAGUUCUGAAGGUCCUCGGAUCGGAAAACGCUGUUAUUAGGGAAGAACAAAUGUGUAAUUAGCAGAGCAGGUAGUGACGGUACCUGAUCAAGAAGCCACGGCUAACUACGUG